GGGGGGGGGGGGGGGGGGGGGGGGGGGGGGGGGGGGGGGGGGGGGGGGGGGGGGGGGAUAAAAAAAAAAAAAAAAAAAGUCUCAAUCAAAGGGAUUUCAGUAUAACCAAGUCAUCCCAACAUGGAUUCCCUCACCAAGGGAAAAACAUCCAGUCACAGACAUCCCACCUAAAAAAGAACAACAAAUUUACUCCAGAGUCUGCAGCCUCAGUCACACAAACCUACCAGGGAAACAAAGAAAACUUUCCAGUGAGAGCUGGAGAGAGGCUUGGAAGAGUGCUGCCUGGGAGCCAGAACUGCCAUCCUGCCACCAUUUCAGAGGGAUGAAAAGGCAUGAACAGAAACUCCCUUCUCCCAGGCCCUCCUAGCCCUUGGGAUCCUCAUGGGAAGACAAAUAAAUCCAUCAGCAGAUUGUUCAGAAACAUUUAUUGUCACCACGCAGUGACGUCUCCUGGCCUGAGAUUAA
rnacentral:lncRNA from 12 species